rfam:Human immunodeficiency virus type 1, complete genome.
GGGUCUUAGUUAGAGGACCAGGUCUGAGCCCGGGAGCUCCCUGGCCUCUAGCUGAACCCGC